GACGAACGCUGGCGGCGUGCUUAACACAUGCAAGUCGAACGCUGAAGCUCAGCUUUUGUUGGGUGGAUGAGUGGCGAACGGGUGAGUAACACGUGAGUAACCUGCCCCCUUCUUUGGGAUAACGCCCGGAAACGGGUGCUAAUACUGGAUAUUCACUGGUCUUCGCAUGGGGGUUGGUGGAAAGGGUUUUUCUGGUGGGGGAUGGGCUCGCGGCCUAUCAGCUUGUUGGUGGGGUGAUGGCCUACCAAGGCUUUGACGGGUAGCCGGCCUGAGAGGGUGACCGGUCACAUUGGGACUGAGAUACGGCCCAGACUCCUACGGGAGGCAGCAGUGGGGAAUAUUGCACAAUGGGCGUAAGCCUGAUGCAGCGACGCCGCGUGAGGGAUGGAGGCCUUCGGGUUGUGAACCUCUUUCGCUCAUGGUCAAGCCGCAACAAUGGUUGUGGUGAGGGUAGUGGGUAAAGAAGCGCCGGCUAACUACGUG
rnacentral:rRNA from 1 species